CGUAGGGUGCGAGCGUUAAUCGGAAUUACUGGGCGUAAAGCGUGCGCAGGCGGUUAUGCAAGACAGAUGUGAAAUCCCCGGGCUCAACCUGGGAACUGCAUUUGUGACUGCAUGGCUAGAGUGCGGCAGAGGGGGAUGGAAUUCCGCGUGUAGCAGUGAAAUGCGUAGAUAUGCGGAGGAACACCGAUGGCGAAGGCAAUCCCCUGGGCCUGCACUGACGCUCAUGCACGAAAGCGUGGGGAGCAAACAGGAUUAGAUACCCUGAUAGUCCACGCCCUAAACGAUGUCAACUGGUUGUUGGGAAGGUUCCUUCUCAGUAACGUAGCUAACGCGUGAAGUUGACCGCCGUGGGGAGUACGGCCGCAAGGUUG
rnacentral:rRNA from 1 species